rnacentral:lncRNA from 1 species
CAAAGUGCUGGGAUUACAGGCGUGAGCCACUGCACCCGGCUACCUUUACCAAGUUUUUAAGAUAUAUUUUUUUUUAUCCUGCACUAUCUCUACAUGUACCACCCACUUCCUGCCUGCAAGGUUAAUGACUAGUGUGCUUUAAAGAAACCUUAUCAAAAGAAUGCUGUGAUGCUUAUUGCACUUUUUAAAGAUUUUAUUAUCGUAUUUAUUUUGGUUUUUAUUUAGAGGCUGGGUCUUGCUCUGUGGCUCAGGCUGGAGUGCAGCAGUGUGAUCCUAGCUGACUGCAGCUUCCAACUCCUGGGCUUAAGGCAAUUCUCCUGCUCAGCCUCCGGAGUAGCUGGGACUACAGGCCCACGCCACUACACCCAGCUAUUUUUAUUUUUUUGUAGAGACAGGAUCUAACUAUGUUUCCCAGUCUGGUCUCCAACUCUUGGGCUCAAGCAGUGCUCCAGCCUUGGCCACCCAAAGUGCUGGGAUUAUAGGCAUGAGUCACAUGCCCGGCCCAUGUUGUUAUUUUAAACUCAAACAGAAAAGAAGAAUUCAAGCAUGAGAUCCCAGAACAAGAGCAUUAAAGGGAAGAAAUGAAGUUGUGAAGACAACCAAAUAUCCAGGUAAAGGCAACUGACCAGACUUGAAUACUUAUCCCAAGAAACCAGAAACUGUUUACAUGCUGAUUUCCCAUUGCUUACGAAAUCCAAGAAUCAUAGACCAUUGAGAACUGCUCUGUGCCACGCACAGUGUAAGGCUCAGUAAGUCACAGACCCCUUUCUCAAAAAAGGUAGAUGUAAACACACUCCUCUGUGUCUCCUCUAUCAUGGCGCUUAUUAGGUGAUGUUGUCAGGUACAUGCUGGCAACAUUAAGGAGGUAGGAGAUGGCAUCUUGGAAAGCUUUGGGAAUGAAAUGUGAAUUAAAUCUCAGAUGUUGAGUCAGAGCUGGCCAGAUAAUUAGGAAAAGCAUCUGGACAGGCACAGGUACGAAGAGUGUCCCUCUUGGCAGAAUGAAGCAACAGGCUGCCUUUUGGCGAGACUCCACUUUGACGAAGGAACUUCGAUGUGUACACAGUCGCUGGGAUCAAGUCACACGACUAUUAAUUAAAAGGAAGAUAUUCGUCAUACAAAUCUAAACUCAUUUCAUCAACUGGACAUGAAACUGAAACUUCACAACCUGCUAAAAAUGAGUUUCUUAAUACCUCUGGACCUACCUGUCUAGGAAUCAGAUGUAACCUGAGACCAGAGACUCAUUUUCUUCUAAAAUGCUUUCUGCAAAAGAUUUUUAAACAAAGAAGGGGGAAAUGUGAAAGGAAAAUA